rnacentral:rRNA from 1 species
UACGAGGGAUCCUAGCGUUGUUCGGAAUCAUUGGGCGUAAAGGGUGUGUAGGCGGCCAUAUAAGUCAGUUGUGAAAGCCCCGGGCUCAACCCGGGAAGUGCUUCUGAUACUGUAUGGCUUGAGUAUUGGAGAGGUGAGUGGAAUUCCAGGUGUAGUGGUGAAAUACGUAGAUAUCUGGAGGAACACCGGUGGCGAAGGCGGCUCACUGGCCAUAUACUGACGCUGAAACACGAAAGCGUGGGGAUCAAACAGG